rnacentral:miRNA from 1 species
UCAGUGAGCUGUAUCCCGUGAA